rnacentral:rRNA from 1 species
UAUAAUGCAGUCGGACGGGAUCCAUCGGUAGCUUGCUAUCAAUGGUGAGAGUGGCGCACGGGUGCGUAACGCGUGAGCAACCUGCCUCCAUCAGGGGGAUAGCCUCUCGAAAGAGAGAUUAACACCGCAUAACAUAUUUUACCGGCAUCGGACGAAUAUUAAAUAUUUAUAGGAUGGAGAUGGGCUCGCGUGACAUUAGCUUGUUGGUGGGGUAACGGCCCACCAAGGCGACGAUGUCUAGGGGCUCUGAGAGGAGAAUCCCCCACACUGGUACUGAGACACGGACCAGACUCCUACGGGAGGCAGCAGUAAGGAAUAUUGGUCAAUGGGCGGAAGCCUGAACCAGCCAUGCCGCGUGCAGGAUGACUGCCCUAUGGGUUGUAAACUGCUUUUGUCCGGGAAUAAACCUCCUUACGAGUAGGGAGCUGAAUGUACCGGAAGAAUAAGGAUCGGCUAACUCCGUGCCAGCAGCCGCGGUAAUACGGAGGAUCCGAGCGUUAUCCGGAUUUAUUGGGUUUAAAGGGUGCGUAGGCGGCCCGUUAAGUCAGGGGUGAAAUACGGUGGCUCAACCAUCGCAGUGCCUUUGAUACUGACGGGCUUGAAUCCAUAUGAAGUGGGCGGAAUAAGACAAGUAGCGGUGAAAUGCAUAGAUAUGUCUUAGAACUCCGAUUGCGAAGGCAGCUCACUAAGCUGGUAUUGACGCUGAUGCACGAAAGCGUGGGGAUCGAACAGGAUUAGAUACCCUGGUAGUCCACGCCCUAAACGAUGAUAACUCGAUGUUGGCGAUAGACAGCCAGCGUCCCAGCGAAAGCGUUAAGUUAUCCACCUGGGGAGUACGCCCGCAAGGGUGAAACUCAAAGGAAUUGACGGGGGCCCGCACAAGCGGAGGAGCAUGUGGUUUAAUUCGAUGAUACGCGAGGAACCUUACCCGGGCUUGAAAGUUAGUGGAGGAUGCAAAGACGCAUCCGUCCUUCGGGACCGAAACUAGGUGCUGCAUGGCUGUCGUCAGCUCGUGCCGUGAGGUGUUGGGUUAAGCCCCGCAACGAGCGCACCCCUAUGUUUAGUUGCCCCC